UACGGAGGAUGCAAGCGUUAUCCGGAUUUAUUGGGUUUAAAGGGUGCGCAGGUUGUUUGAUAAGUCAGUGGUGAAAGUCUGUCGCUUAACGGUAGGAUUGCCAUUGAUACUGUUAGACUUGAAUAUGGAUGAGGUAGGCGGAAUGUGUAGUGUAGCGGUAAAAUGCAUAGAUAUUACACAGAACACCGAUUGCGAAGGCAGCUUACUAAUCCAUCAUUGACGCUGAGGCACGAAAGCGUGGGGAUCAAACAGGA
rnacentral:rRNA from 1 species